AUUGAACGCUGGCGGCAGGCCUAACACAUGCAAGUCGAACGGUAGCACAGAGAGCUUGCUCUCGGGUGCCGAGUGGCGGACGGGUGAGUAAUGUCUGGGAAACUGCCCGAUGGAGGGGGAUAACUACUGGAAACGGUAGCUAAUACCGCAUAACGUCUUCGGACCAAAGUGGGGGACCUCCGGGCCUCACACCAUCGGAUGUGCCCAGAUGGGAUUAGCUAGUAGGUGGGGUAAUGGCUCACCUAGGCGACGAUCCCUAGCUGGUCUGAGAGGAUGACCAGCCACACUGGAACUGAGACACGGUCCAGACUCCUACGGGAGGCAGCAGUGGGGAAUAUUGCACAAUGGGCGCAAGCCUGAUGCAGCCAUGCCGCGUGUAUGAAGAAGGCCUUCGGGUUGUAAAGUACUUUCGGCGGGGAGGAAGGCGAUGAGGUUAAUAACCGCAUCGAUUGACGUUACCCGCAGAAGAAGCACCGGCUAACUCCGUG
rnacentral:rRNA from 1 species